CCCCCCCCCCCCCCCCCGCGGCAAGUCUCCCGCGCGGAAGUGGGCGUGCCCAGCCGCCGCACAGCGCAUGCUCAGUGCGCGCCUGCUGACCCCCGUGCGGAGCGCGUAAGGGAGCGGGGCGCCGCGUGAUGCAUUUCCCGGGCGUUGAUUGGCUGCGGCUCCGGCGUGGAGGGCGGAGGGGUGGGUGCCGGUCACGUGGCGAGGGAGCGGCGCUCGGCCCAUCCCCCGUACCUUUGGGCGUGGCGAUAGCGAGGACCCGGGUUCGAUACCCGCGCCAGGCAAUCCCAGCGGCAGCCGUUGGGCAGCCCUUUCUCGCGGGAUUUCCCUACGAGGAAGGGAACAUCCUCCAUCCUCCCAUUCGUUGUUGCAAGUCCCUUAACCACGGGACAGGACGCCAGGUCAUGGAGACCUUACAAGUCCUCACAUCCCUACUGUCCUUCUGUUGGUACUGUCCUGCUCACCACAAGAAAGUCAAAAACUUCCACACUGUGUGGCUGGAUGACACCAUUUCACAGGCACAAGGUACGACCCUGAAAAAGCCUAAAUUGGUUUCAGAAUUCCCCUCUGCUGAUCAUCCUUCAAUGUUGUAAAACCUACACUCACGUCAAUAGAAACUGAUUUCAGGCACCUCCCAAGUUCUGCUUCAUGUCUCAAUGUCACUAAUUCCCCAUCAGGGACUCCUCUUUUGAUACCCCUGGCAGGCUGACAAGAAGUCCCAAAUGUGUCCUUCCCACAGGUGCUUUUGAGUGUUUCACUUGGCACAUUUCCACCUAUUCUUCCAUCAGUGGUUGUGCUCGGUGCUUUCACAUGAUACUCGUUGUAGCAUGGGUGGCACAAGGGAUUAUGAUUAGAAAUAACACCCAUCUCUGAGCUAUGUAAGCACAGGCAGAGGAACUGACAGCUGAGCAGAGAGCAAGUUCACAUGAGCACCUUUGCAAUGUCUGUUGAACUGGCACAGCCAUUAUCUGCAAAGGAUACUCGCCAGGCACCUUCAGCAGAAUCCCUUCUAAUAAUUACAAAACCAGACAGAAAACAUACCUUGUAAGGCAAGUUUGCAAGAGGGUUGUUUAUGAUCUCUGGUCUGGUACAUCAGAUUCACAAACAGUGAAAGCAUCAGACUAUAAGGGGACUAGAAGCUGGGUCGCAACCACUCUAUCUAGUGUAUCCUCACAUGGAAAAGGAGAAUGAAGAAGCACCAGCCUGAAGACAGACCUGAUAAACACAGCUAGCCAAAAAG
rnacentral:lncRNA from 1 species